ACGCUCGACACCUACGGGAUGCAGCAGUGGGGAAUAUUGCACAAUGGGGGAAACCCUGAUGCAGCGACGCCGCGUGAAGGAAGAAGUAUCUCGGUAUGUAAACUUCUAUCAGCAGGGAAGAAAAUGACGGUACCUGACUAAGAAGCCCCGGCUAACUACGUGCUAGCAGCCGCGGUAAUCUGAGGCGGGCUGGCAAGGC
rnacentral:rRNA from 1 species